CAAGAAUAGAGGAGUAGGAAUUUUCUAGAAAUCAUAAGGUUUUCAUUUAAAGUUCCUAGGUUAUGAAUUAAUACUGGUUAAUAAAAUAUAGGAGAAAAAAAGAUAGAGAAAGGUAAAAUAAGGUUUUUAUUUAAGAUUCCUAGGUUAUGAAUUAAAACUGGUUAAUAAAAUAAAUAAGAGAAAAAAAGAUAGAGAAAGAAUUCCUAGGUUAUGAAUUAAAACUGGUUCAUAAAAUAGAAAAGAUAGAGAAAGGUAUAAAUAGCGAUGAAUAUAAGUAACCGAAUAAAAAAACUUCUUUUAAACAUUUUAAUAUAAAAGUUAGCGAUAAAAGGUUUACACGACGUUUCGAUGUCUUCAUAAAUAAAAGCCAAGUAAAAACAUGUCCUUAUAUAUGCUCUAGGCUAGACAGUACGUCUAUGCAUGAGCACUCAACUCGAGGGAUUGUUACCACGAAGCCAGCCCGCGCAUAUCUUCGAAGAAUCGAAGUUAUAGUAAUGUUUGAUUGGUGUAAGGGGAAUUUAUUUGGGAUUCGGAAAUUACUUAAUUGUUGGAAAUAGUUUAUUAGAAUAUUGAUAGAGAAUAUUGACAAUCUCAGCAUUAAGGUGUCAAGGGCAAUAGGAGUCAUUCGCCGAGAUAAAAAUAUGUUAAACAAGAU